AGGGACCUGUGUGACAUUCUCCACCCCGCUGAGCAGCCAGAUUGAGGUGACAAUCCCAAAGUCUCCAGAGUCAAGCACAGAACCCAGGAGUCCUGGCUCCCAGGCCCCACUGCGCCUCUGGGAAUGAUCCAGGAUGGGGCAACUCCAGACUCUGCCUCAACACUGGAGAGCAGAGCCGAGACACCAGGACCUGCCGCAUCAGUGGAGGGGAGCAGACCUGAGGCUCCAGAGACAUCUCCCAACAAAGUUCCUGCAGAUACGGUCCAGAUACGGGAAACAGGAGCUGGGUCUCCAUGGCCCAUUCCAUCCCUGACCACGGGCUGACUCGGCCGAUGAGGAAGUCAGUCAGGGCCCUCCACAUUCCCCUGGUUCUUCCAUCCAGCGUCUCCAUCUCCAUACACCCGCUGCGCCCGAGCGCCUGCCCAUCCCCUGUGUAUUGUCCACCUGUGAAGGAUGUGGAAGGGAGAAGAGCCGUGAAGACGGUCCUGUCCUAGCUGAGAAUCAUGAACUUCAGAAACACGAACCUCAGGCUGAGGGAUCUCUUGGAAAUCAGUCCAGACAGCGUGAAGGACUCGACUCCUUAUACCUGGGGAGACUUGCCUAGGCACUUCAUAGAAUCAUAGAAUAUCAGGGUUGGAAGGGACCUCAGGAGGUCAUCUAGUCCAACCCCCUGCUCAAAGCAGGACCAAUUCCCAACUAAAUCAUCCCAGCCAGGGCUUUGUCAAGCCGGGCCUUAAAAACCUCCAAGGAAGGAGACUCCACCACCUCCCUAGGCUUCGGAGAGCUGCCAAUCUCGCACCAACAGGUCCAGACCCUGCAACAGAGAGCGCAGGAGGAGGGUCACACUGGGGCUGGGAGCACAGAGAGGAGACCAGAGCUGGAGGCUGCUGCCGAACCCCGCCACCGAC